UACGGAGGAUUCGAGCGUUAUCCGGAUUUAUUGGGUUUAAAGGGAGCGUAGGCGGGUUGUUAAGUCAGUUGUGAAAGUUUGCGGCUCAACCGUAAAAUUGCAGUUGAUACUGGCAUCCUUGAGUACAGUAGAGGUAGGCGGAAUUCGUGGUGUAGCGGUGAAAUGCUUAGAUAUCACGAAGAACUCCGAUUGCGAAGGCAGCCUGCUGGACUGUAACUGACGCUGAUGCUCGAAAGUGUGGGUAUCAAGCAGG
rnacentral:rRNA from 1 species